rnacentral:lncRNA from 1 species
CUGGAACUGCUUGUGUACAUACUGGUGCUCAAAAGAAGGAUGCUUCAAGAAGAAAGAGAUGCUGCAGAUGGCUGUGCCCAGUGUCGUGGCAACUUCUGUAUUCAUCAUAGACAUCCUCUGGACCACAGCUGCAGACGUGGGAGCCGCCCCACCAUCAAAGCUGGCUGAGAAGAGACUCUCGGCUGUGAUGACGCUGGCUUAGAACUUGCAGUAACAUAAGUAGAACCUGAAGUCCAGGUGCUUAGCAGGGUACAGCAGACUGUACCAGUGGUUGCUGAGGAAGAAUUAUUUUUUUUAAAUAUACCAGCCUUUGACCGCCUACUCUAAGGUUUCAUGGUCCUGUUUUCACACUUUCUUCCAGUGGUGUUUCAUUGUGGUCUUAACAACCUUGACAUCGACACCUUACUUUAAAAGAGAAGGAGCCACUCUUCAAGUAUGUGCUCAGGGAGACUAACCAUUUCCUGGGCACCAUCACUCCCAGCUAAGCUUUUGGUCUGGAGAACUUGGGGCCUCCUUGCCAUGAUUUAUCAUUCUGGUGUCAUUCCC